UACUUGCCUUUUCUUUUGGCCGAUCCCGG
rnacentral:piRNA from 2 species